CAAUUAUCUAGCCUGGCCCAGAGGAGGAGUUUUGUGUUGCAUAAAUUGUGAGUUCUGUGUGCCAGUAAAUCAGUCUUGUUCCAGCAUUAAGCCUUGGCUCAUUUUUGGGGGAUUGGAGAAAUACACUCUGGGGAUUGCUAUAAUCACUAUACUCCCCAGGGUAUGAUCACUAAGUUCUGCUAAGAGCUUGUUCCUGUUCCUGCUCUCUGGGGAAAGAGAGGUUCACCC